UACGUAGGGGGCUAGCGUUGUCCGGAAUCAUUGGGCGUAAAGAGCGUGUAGGCGGCCCGGUAAGUCCGCUGUGAAAGUCAAAGGCUCAACCUUUGAAUGUCAGUGGAUACUGCCGGGCUAGAGUCCGGAAGAGGCGAGUGGAACUCCUGGUGUAGCGGUGGAAUGCGCAGAUAUCAGGAAGAACACCAACGGCGAAGGCAGCUCGCUGGGACGGUACUGACGCUGAGACGCGAAAGCGUGGGGAGCAAACAGG
rnacentral:rRNA from 1 species